CCUGCUCUGGUGUCACAGCUGACACUGCUUGGAGCAGGAGGUUGAACUAAAGAUCUUCUAAGGUUGCAUCCAACCUGAAUUUCCGAUGGUACGAUCUGUACCAACUCCAUUUAUCCCCCUUCUCUGAGCAAAGUAUGCACAUCUACACUGUUGGAUCACUCAGGUCAUGGGGCUGACUCCAAUGCCCAAGAAAGAAACAGGAGUGGCACGGGAAUCCUUGCAGUCCAGCAGCCAGAAGUGGACAUCUCCCAUCCUAAGCUGGGGUUGAACAUCUUGUUAGCACCUGAGUUAAUGUUUGCAGGGCAGGGGUGGAGCUGUUUGUUGAAGAAUCUGGACCCUGAUUCCCAGAAAAGCCCUGCAGUACGAAUAGUGUGAUCCUGUCCAGAGCUGCCACAACACCAGCAUGAUAAGAUCUGACUGAAUCUGUAAUUUUGUUUAAUGUAGCUGUUGCAACAUAAACCUAACGAGGCUUGAAUACCAGG